rnacentral:lncRNA from 1 species
GCCUAGUGGUUAGAGCAGCAGGUAGCCUAGUGGUUAGAGGGGCAGGUAGCCUAGUGGUUAGAGGGGCAGGUAGCCUAGUGGUUAGAGGGGCAGGUAGCCUAGUGGUUAGAGGGGCAGGUAGCCUAGUGGUUAGAGCAGCAGGUAGCCUAGUGGUUAGAGCAGCAGGUAGCCUAGUGGUUAGAGGGGCAGGUAGGCUAGUGGUUAGAGGGGCAGGUAGCCUAGUGGUUAGAGCAGCAGGUAGCCUAGUGGUUAGAGGAGCAGGUAGCCUAGUGGUUAGAGCGGCAGGUAGCCUAGUGGUUAGAGCAGCAGGUAGCCUAGUGGUUAGAGGAGCAGGUAGCCUAGUGGUUAGAGGGGCAGGUAGCCUAGUGGUUAGAGGGGCAGGUAGCCUAGUGGUUAGAGGGGCAGGUAGCCUAGUGGUUAGAGGGGCAGGUAGCCUAGUGGUUAGAGAGACAGGUAGCCUAGUGGUUAGAGAGGCAGGUAGCCUAGUGGUUAGAGCGUUGGGGCGGGUGGUAGCCUAGUGGUUAGAGCGGCAGGUAGCCUAGUGGUUAGAGCGGCAGGUAGCCUAGUGGUUAGAGGGGCAGGUAGCCUAGUGGUUAGAGCAGCAGGUAGCCUAGUGGUUAGAGGGGCAGGUAGCCUAGUGGUUAGAGUGUAGGGGAGGCAGGUAGCCUAGUGGUUAGAGCGGCAGGUAGCCUAGUGGUUAGAGCGGCAGGUAGCCUAGUGGUUAGAGCGGCAGGUAGCCUAGUGGUUAGAGCGUUGGGGCGGGUGGUAGCCUAGUGGUUAGAGCAGCAGGUAGCCUAGUGGUUAGAGCGUUGGGGCGGGAGGUAGCCUAGUGGUUAGAGCGUUGGGGCGGGUAGUAGCCUAGCGGUUAGAGCAGCAGGUAGCCUAGUGGUUAGAGCGUUGGGGCGGGUGGUAGCCUAGUGGUUAGAGCGGCAGGUAGCCUAGUGGUUAGAGCGGCAGGUAGCCUAGUGGUUAGAGCGGCAG